rnacentral:rRNA from 1 species
UUGACCUCGGAUCAGGCAGGGAUACCCGCUGAACUUAAGCAUAUCAAUAAGCGGAGGAAAAGAAACCAACAGGGAUUGCCUCAGUAACGGCGAGUGAAGCGGCAACAGCUCAAAUUUGAAAUCUGGCUCUUUUAGGGUCCGAGUUGUAAUUUGUAGAGGAUGCUUCGGCGUCGGCUCCGGUCUAAGUUCCUUGGAACAGGACGUCAUAGAGGGUGAGAAUCCCGUAUGUGAUCGGUUGCCCUUGCCAUGUGAAGCUCCUUCGACGAGUCGAGUUGUUUGGGAAUGCAGCUCUAAAUGGGAGGUAAAUUUCUUCUAAAGCUAAAUACUGGCCAGAGACCGACAGCGCACAAGUAGAGUGAUCGAAAGAUGAAAAGCACUUUGGAAAGAGAGUCAAAAAGUACGUGAAAUUGUUGAAAGGGAAGCGC